rnacentral:lncRNA from 1 species
AUGUGACGGAGUUCUGUGUUGGUUCCUCUUGUCUGACUUGAUUUCUUCUGGGGAGUUGAGCUCCAGGGGAUUCUUGAGCACAUCGUUAUUGUUUAGAUUUCUUAGUACCUCAGAAUGGAGGAUGUUCGAAAUUGCUUCAAUACUAGUAGUGGCGAGAGGAGUUCGGCAUCCCCAGUACUGGUGGAGAGAGUUAGAAUGUACUGCCAUACUUAGUAUCAUUAUGUUUUCAAGGGUCUAAGAUAGAUGAGUUUCUGAGAUCUCUAGUUAUGUGUUGACGGAUGUGAUACACUCGACAUGUUAGAGUUAUUGCUAGGAGUUGACUGAUGGAUUUUCUCCUUGUAUCUGUGGACCCGAUUGCAUGACCAGAAAUUUUUGGGAGUUCUUAAGUGGGAAUUCAA